UUAUGUUGCAGGUUGGGUUAUGUUGCAGGUUAUGUUGGAGGUUAUGUUGGAGGUUAUGUUGGAGGUUAGGUUAGCAGAGCUGCAUCUGCAUGAAGGAGCAUGUCCUCACAGCACAAACACCAGCGGCUUGUAAAAGUAUUCACACCCUUUUAACUUUUCCACAUAUUGUCGCGUUACAACCACAAACAACUUCUUAUGAAUUUUAUGUGAACACAACGCGGUGUACAAUUGUGAAGCAGAAACAAAAUUACACAUGAUUUUUUUUACUAAUAGCUGAAACGGGCCUUGUGCUAAAGUAUUCAGCCCCCUGAGUGAAUACUUUAUGGAUCCACCUUCUGCUGCAGUUACACGUCUUUCAGGUUUGUCUCUACCAGCUUUGAGCAUCUAGGGACUGAAACUUCUGCCCGUUCAGCUCCAGCUCAGUCAGAUCACAUGUAGAUUCUGGGUUGGGGUUGGGUCUGGACUUUGACUAGGCCGUUUUUACACAUGAAUAUGUUUUAAACGGUUGUAGCCCUGGCUCUAUGUUCAGGGUGGAGGGUGACUCCAGCAGGUUUUCCUCCCAGAAUGCCCUGCAUCUGGCUCCCUCCAUCAGCUCUGACCAUCUUCCCUGCUGGAGGGGAGCAGAGCGUGAUGCCACCAUGUCUGACGGUGCUAGUUCUCCACACAGCGUUACAUCCUGGUCUCUGACCACAGCUCCUCCCUCCUCAUGUUUGCUGUGUCUCCACCACGGUUCUGACUGCAAACAGGACAUUUUAUGGUUUCUCUUUUCUUGUCCCUCUUCCAUAAAGACCACACAUGUGGACGACGUGUCCCACACCUGAGCCGUGGGUCUCUGCAGUCCCUCCAGAGUCACCAUGUGUCUCUGAUGAGCGCUCUCCUCGUUCAGCCUGUAGGUUCAGGUGGACGGCUGCCCCUCUGUCCUUCUCCAGAACUCUGUGAGACGGUCAAAGCUUUUUCAGCCUGAGCUGCUUAAACAUCUCCAGAACUUUAUCUGCUGUGUGUCUGGACUCCAGGAUGCUGGUUCCUCCCCGAUGAUCUCUGAUCUCUGAAGCCCUCAGAGCGGCUGCAUCUGUGCUGAGAUCAGAUCCAUUCAUCGUUAGCAACCAUCAGCCUGGGUGUGAAUACUUUUACAAGCCACUGUGAUCUGUCCAGCAUGGAGGUGGAGGACUUCCUCUGCAGCCAGAGGACCCGGGCUCCCAGCAGGCGCUGAGUGGACCGUGAACUCAGAACCCAGACGUGUUCUGAGGUCCAGUCUGAGGAAUUCUGGCCAGCAGCUCAAGCUGGGUCGGUUCUAAGUGGCGUAAACACUGACGCCACAUGAAGGUUCCUUUAGAGAGAAGAGUGGACCCAAAGUCCUCCACAACCAUCUGAGACGUCUGACUGAAACUUCUGCUGCUGGAGGAGGUUCUGCUGGAUCUGCACAGCAAGGUUCUGUUUAAGAAAUGGUGCUGAGUCUGUGGUGUUCUACAGAUGAGUUGAGAAGCUGCGGUUACGUGAACUCCCUUCCUGACGGAACCCUGCAGCUCUGUGAUUUGGACCUGAGGAGUUCUGCAGGUCAGUGAUGGACCUCGGUGCCGUCAGCAGUCAGAGGAAGCUGCUGAGGUCCUGCAUGUGUGGAGAUCUCCAGCUGAUCCCGUCCAGGACUGAACCCAGUCCGUGUGGCUGGGAGCAAAGCAUCAUGGGAGGACGGAUGGCUGACCUCUGGGCUCUCUGCUUUUUGUCAGCGAGUGUAUUUCUAUUUCCACGCAGCUCCGCCUGCAGGCCAACUCCAGCAGUAAUCAGGAUUAUUUCAGGACUAAUUCUUUUAGCAGCUGGUGUUUUUAGUCAAAGAGGAGUCAGCAGACCAAAGGCGCGGCGCUCUGGUUGAGCUGCAGCAACGUUUCACACGGAUGCAGCCGCUUCUCUCUGCUGGUUCCUUCAGGUCUGGGGAAACUACCUUUGCCACAGACGGCAUCGGUGCCUUACUGUUUUCAGCUCUGUCACCGUGUCUUAACAUUCCUGAAAUGUACUUUUCUCCUGUAAUUAACGCUGACUUGGAUUUGUAAAAAUGUUUUUGAAUUUACAGCAGUAAGAAUUUCUAUGUGACGAUGUUAUUGAUUAAAAAAUUACAAAAAGAAAA